CAAUAGCGUAUAUUAAAGUUGUUGCAGUUAAAAAGCUCGUAGUUGGAUUUCUGGUGGGGAUCGCUGGUCCGCCGCGAAAGUGGCGUGUACCGACGCGUGUCUACUGCCAUCCUCGAGGGGACCACGUGUGGGAUUGAGUUUCCGUGCGUGUGGACGCUCGUCUUUUACUGUGAAAAAAUUAGAGUGUUCAAAGCAGGCUGAGGCCGUUGAAUACAUUAGCAUGGAAUAAUGAGAUAAGACUUUGGUGGUCUAUUUUGUUGGUUUGCACACCAAGGUAAUGAUUAAUAGGGAUAGUUGGGGGUAUUCGUAUUCCAUCGUCAGAGGUGAAAUUCUUAGAUUGAUGGAAGACGAACUACUGCGAAAGCAUUUACCAAGGAUGUUUNCAUUAA
rnacentral:rRNA from 1 species